AUUUCUAUUGUCUCCCACAUUCGUUCGCCAUAACAUUGUGAGCCUCUUUUGUAUAAACAAUAUUUGAUGCCAGCAACAAUUGGUUUUCGGCUGUGGUUUCGAAAAUGGAUUGAUCUUGACCAUGUUAACCUUUUUUUCUGUGUUCCUAAGAUCUUCAGUUAAAUUUAUUUGCAGAAUAAACAGGCUCCUGUUUUUGAACCAAAAAGUUAUUUACUCUAGGCACUUGGUAAAAAUUUGACGUGAAAUCAAAAAAAAAUUUAGGUGGCUCUCUUGUAACAAGGCAACAAUAAUGUCAACAACGAACACAAACUUACAAAUCCACAAAUUAAAAAUUAAUGAACAAAAAAAUGUCAACAACGUUAAUUCAUCAAUCUGCGUAUUAGAAUUAAUCAACGCAACUUGCAAAACAACAAAAAUUUCAAUAACGAUCACGAAAUCAUCUGCAAAUAAAACUUAAUCCAAAAUAUGCUGGCAAACAUUAAAAGACAAGACAACGCCGACUAAUAGAGAUCCAUAGACAAUGCCAACAGCUAAAAAAACUAACUAAAUACCACACUUACCCUCUGAAAUAUCGGUUGAUGGCUAUCGUGUUACGUGCACCGCAAGAGCGGUUUCGUGCUUCUGAGGAAGACGCUUGAAGAGGAAUUAUUACAACCGACGUGACGAAAGCGGUUGCGUGCAUCGUAAAAAGAUAGGAUGGAAUUUUGUUAAUCACUAAGUGACAUGACUCACUUGGUUUGGUAACUUCCGUUAACAAUCGACAACAAGUGGAAAGUUUUGAACUUAAAAAGCAAAGGCAAGGCUACUACAAAGCAGAAAUGUUCCUGGGACGUUGGAGAACGAGGCGGAAAAACAAAAUACGGUUAUUAUUAAAGAGAAGUCUACUGUGUAUUUACAGAAAUUUAACAUUAGUUAAAAAAAUUUAAGACUUUAUUAUUACAAAAUGUAUGGAUAAGCAAUAAAUCAGUCCGCUUAAUUAUCUUAUAAGGUUUAUUUACAACUAUAGCAACACCAAAGCAAAUAACUUAUAUCCAACUGUUCAAUAAAACUUAUUGAAUAAUUUUGCGCAUAAGACAAGUAAAUAACUGAACACGGUUUCUAAUGUCAUAAAUACUGAAGGUCUGUACAGGAAAAAAGAGAGUAUGGCAAAAUUUUUAAGACUUUUUUUAUCCUGUAUGUUUGACGAUGAACAAAGUGAAAGCGAUAAACAUGUAAACGAAACAGACGUAAAUAAGAAAAAAAAUAACGAAAAAAGAAAGAAAGAAAUAGCAAAAAAUGGUAAUCAGAAAGUUGACGAAAAAGUAAAAAAUUCUCAUGAAAUUCAAUUAAACCUUCCAGAUCAAACUUCUCAUGAAAAUGUAAACAACAGAAUAAGAAGUAACACAGUACCUACGUAUUUAAAAAAUGAACAAAAAAGUCGCAAAGUUUCAUGUUCUGAGAUUUAUGCGUAUAGACAGUUAUAUCUGGAACUUGAUGACAGUAAAAUACCUAAAGCUUUAGAAGUGCCAAUCCAUCUGAGUCGUAUAAGAGAUGAACCUAGGGAAAAGAUGAGUGGUAAAGAAAAGAGAAUGUUAAGACGGGUUUCGCAGCUGAAUAAUUAAUAACGGUGUUGUAAAAAGAAAACAAAGGAUAGAAAACUUACAUUUUACUGUUCCUUCAUUGGGAAAGGUUAGUAACGAUUUAGAAGAUUCCAAAUGCUUUUUUUAUGGCUACAGUAUACAAUGUGUCCCGCACAACAAGGAAUUAUUUGGACAGUAUUGACAAGAUAAAUGUAAAUAUUCUACAGUUGAAUAACUUCAAUUUAAACAGAUUUUAAUUCUUUAGAUGCUUAGUGUUGUCACAUAAAGAUUUAUUUAAUACUAAUGCUUGUCACUUUCGGUACUUACAGCGCAACAAGUCUUAUAAAAGAAGAUAUUCUAAAGAAAUUUGUAGGUAUGUAUAAAGGGGGAUUUUCACGAAGCGAAUUGAGCGGCGAAUUCGACGGCGAAUUGUAUCUGAGCAUGCGCAGUUCGAUGCAAAAUCAAAACAAACAAAACUGCGGAUGCUCAGAUACAAUUCGCCGUCGAAUUCGCCGUCGAAUUCGCCGCUCAAUUCGCUUCGUGAAAAUCCCCCUUAACAUAAAAAAAUAUAUCAGAGUUACCCAUGAGUAAUCUCCAAUCUCUGUAGUUCAAAGCCGGGUCAUGUGAAACCACGCACGAAAUCUUCAAGCUAUAAAUCUUAAAUGCGAUAUUGUUUUAUCGUCCUUGCUGCGAGGUUAAAAGCACAGACUUAUCUUUAACAAGGUCGCCUUAAUUAUUUUAUUGUGACAACUGGUAUCUAUAACAACAAAGCCACAACAGCCUGAUAACAGAAUGUUCAAUAAACCCUAUUAAUUAAUCUAUCGAAUAAAAUAAAUACCUGAGCGAUUUUCACAAUUUACAAUGCUAAUUUCAAACCUAGGAAAAAAUAACAGGAUGGGAAAUUUGUUAAGAAUUCUUUUAUCAUUUUGUUUCAACGAUGAAUCAAAUAAAAGCGAGGAAAACAAAGCAAGGAAAAAUGGAAAAAAUGAUAGCAAGAUAAAAAUUAGUAAAGAUGGGAAUGGCAAAGAUGACAGAAAAGUGAUUUAUUGGCAUGAAAUUAAGUUGAAUCUACCAUCUGUGAUUUCUCAGGAACGUGAAAAUCCACGACUGCGAAGUAACACUGUACCUCCGACUUCAACAGUUGAACAAAAGAGUCGUAAGAUUUCUUGUUCCGAGAAAUACGCGUAUAAGCAGUUAUAUCAGGAGCUUGAUGACGAUAAAUUGCCUCAACUUUUGGAAGUACCAGUCCAAUUAAAGCAAAUGAAAGAUAAAUCUGGAGAGAAAAUGAGUGGUAAAGAAAAGAAAAUGUUAAGACGCGUUUCGUUGUUAAGUCGUUAACAAUAGUGUUGAAAAAAGAAAUGAAAAGAGAUUUACAUUUCCCUGGUUUACACAAGGAAAUAUAUAGCGGAAAACAAAGAGAUGUAAAGAUACACUUCUCCUAUCAACGGGAAAAUUGAGUUUUUGUAUACAUGGGCAAAUGUCCAUUCAAUGUCCAAUCGAGAUACUGGUCUACUUGACAAACGUACACAAGCAUUAUAAUGGGCGUAACCGUGUGUCAGGCAUGCAAAGUAUUUACCCUAUCUGCAUGGUAGAAAACUACUUUUGUUUGGUAAAUUCUGGAGAACGCAAUUAAGAACAAGUCUACAGUUGCGUUAUUGUAUCACCUUUUCAUUUAUAUAUUCAUAUAUUUCACAAAGAAUUUCAUCACCUUUCCAUUUAUAUAUUCAUAUAUUUCACAAAUCGAAAAACUUUUAUAUAGGGAAAUAUUUUUGAGAGAUCUUUGUUCUAAGCGAUUUAAAACAUGCGUAAGUGGCUCUCCAAAAUUAGUGGCAAAACAGUGCGAUAUACAAUGUCCAUCUUCAGAGAUAAUCUCAAUUGCAAAAUAUUAUUUCUCCCUUUUUAAGUUCUUCAUUACCGGUUUCUUAUCACCUAUUGAUCUCCUCCAGAUACCUCUGUUAUUACACAAUCAUUUUUACUGUUAUUUUAAUCUUCCAUAUCGGAGGGAUUCAAUUUGAUUUAUAUUUAAUUUAAGGUGCAAACUAAAACAAUGUUGUAAAAUAAAAAUCUUUGCGCAUAAAAUGGCUGCUUCUGACUUCUCUACCACUUUCUCUCUGCUGACAACUUUUCAAAUCUAGAGAAUUUAACAGAAGAGUACCAGUGGUGGGCGAUUAUCCAUUCUAUUGUGAAGUGUUAAUUUUAGCAAUAUAGCAAAAAUAACUACACCACCUUCUUUAUUCGUUAACGAGUUUUGUUACAUUUUCUAUAUACUACACAGCAAUGUUUUGUUACAUUUUCUAUAUACUACACAGCAAUGUUUAAUUAGUACCGUGCGUUUUUUUUUGUUUCUUUUAAAUAUAUAUAAAAUAUAGAAACUCAUCUUAUGGUUAGAGUUUUUUUCGCAAUGGUGAGUGGUUAAUCUACUCGAAAUAUAUGCUAUAAUAUUAUUUUCUGCCGA